UACAGAGGUCUCAAGCGUUGUUCGGAUUCAUUGGGCGUAAAGGGUGCGUAGGCGGCGCGGUAAGUCGGGUGUGAAAUCUCGGAGCUUAACUCCGAAACUGCAUUCGAUACUGCCGUGCUUGAGGACUGGAGAGGAGACUGGAAUUUACGGUGUAAGCGGUGAAAUGCGUAGAUAAUCGUAAAGGAAGACCAGUGGCGAAGGCGGGUCUCUGGACAGUUCCUGACGUGAGGCACGAAGGUCAGGGGAGCAAACGGG
rnacentral:rRNA from 1 species